CAUUAGCUAGUUGGUGAGGUAACGGCUCACCAAGGCCACGAUGCAUAGCCGACCUGAGAGGGUGAUCGGCCACAUUGGGACUGAGACACGGCCCAAACUCCUACGGGAGGCAGCAGUAGGGAAUCUUCGGCAAUGGACGAAAGUCUGACCGAGCAACGCCGCGUGAGUGAAGAAGGUUUUCGGAUCGUAAAACUCUGUUGUUAGAGAAGAACAAGGAUGAGAGUAACUGUUCAUCCCUUGACGGUAUCUAACCAGAAAGCCACGGCUAACUACGUGCCAGCAGCCGCGGUAAUACGUAGGUGGCAAGCGUUGUCCGGAUUUAUUGGGCGUAAAGCGAGCGCAGGCGGUUUCUUAAGUCUGAUGUGAAAGCCCCCGGCUCAACCGGGGAGGGUCAUUGGAAACUGGGAGACUUGAGUGCAGAAGAGGAGAGUGGAAUUCCAUGUGUAGCGGUGAAAUGCGUAGAUAUAUGGAGGAACACCAGUGGCGAAGGCGGCUCUCUGGUCUGUAACUGACGCUGAGGCUCGAAAGCGUGGGGAGCAAACAGGAUUAGAUACCCUGGUAGUCCACGCCGUAAACGAUGAGUGCUAAGUGUUGGAGGGUUUCCGCCCUUCAGUGCUGCAGCUAACGCAUUAAGCACUCCGCCUGGGGAGUACGACCGCAAGGUUGAAACUCAAAGGAAUUGACGGGGGCCCGCACAAGCGGUGGAGCAUGUGGUUUAAUUCGAAGCAACGCGAAGAACCUUACCAGGUCUUGACAUCCUUUGACCACUCUAGAGAUAGAGCUUCCCCUUCGGGGGCAAAGUGACAGGUGGUGCAUGGUUGUCGUCAGCUCGUGUCGUGAGAUGUUGGGUUAAGUCCCGCAACGAGCGCAACCCUUAUUGUUAGUUGCCAUCAUUCAGUUGGGCACUCUAGCAAGACUGCCGGUGACAAACCGGAGGAAGGUGGGGAUGACGUCAAAUCAUCAUGCCCCUUAUGACCUGGGCUACACACGUGCUACAAUGGGAAGUACAACGAGUCGCGAAGUCGCGAGGCUAAGCUAAUCUCUUAAAGCUUCUCUCAGUUCGGAUUGCAGGCUGCAACUCGCCUGCAUGAAGCCGGAAUCGCUAGUAAUCGCGGAUCAGCACGCCGCGGUGAAUACG
rnacentral:rRNA from 1 species